AUUGAACGCUGGCGGCAUGCCUUACACAUGCAAGUCGAACGGUAACAGGUUAAGCUGACGAGUGGCGAACGGGUGAGUAAUACAUCGGAACGUGCCCAGUAGUGGGGGAUAGCCCGGCGAAAGCCGGAUUAAUACCGCAUACGACCUACGGGUGAAAGGGGGGGCUCGCAAGACCUCUCGCUAUUGGAGCGGCCGAUGUCAGAUUAGGUAGUUGGGGGGGUAAAAGCCUACCAAGCCGACGAUCUGUAGCUGGUCUGAGAGGACGACCAGCCACACUGGGACUGAGACACGGCCCAGACUCCUACGGGAGGCAGCAGUGGGGAAUUUUGGACAAUGGGCGCAAGCCUGAUCCAGCCAUGCCGCGUGCGGGAAGAAGGCCUUCGGGUUGUAAACCGCUUUUGUCAGGGAAGAAACGCUCUGGGUUAAUACCCUGGGGUAAUGACGGUACCUGAAGAAUAAGCACCGGCUAACUACGUGCCAGCCGCCGCCGUAA
rnacentral:rRNA from 1 species